rnacentral:rRNA from 1 species
UGGGGGGUAUAGAUCCCCUCCGUGCCGAAGCUAACGCGUUAAGCAUGCCGCCUGGGGAUAACGGCCGCAAGGCAGAAACUCACAGGAAUUGACGGGGGCCCGCACAAACAGCGGAGCAUUUGAUUUAAUUCGAUGAUACAAGAAGAACCUUACAUGGGUUUGACAUGUAGAUAGUAGUGAAGCGAAAACGGAACGACCAUUCAGGGGAGCCUACACAGCUGUUGCAUGGCUGUCUUCAGUUAGUGCCGUGAGAGUGUCGGGUUAAGUCCCGUAACGGAUCCGCAACCCUUGCCCUUAGUUACAUGUGUAUUAGGGGAAUGCCCGGGACAACUGGGAGGAAGGUGGGGAGGACGUCAAGUCAGCAUGACCGCCAUGUCCAGGGCUACACACACGCUACAAUGGCCGGUACAAUGGAUCGCCAAGCAGUGAGGCGGAGCCAAUCCCCCAAAGCCGGUCUUAGUUCGGAUUAUGGCAUGCAACUAGCCCAUAUGGAGCAGGAGUUGUUAGUGACCGUGCGUCAGCAAUAGUUCGGUG